UCAGAUGAGAGGAGCAAAAGGAGGUGGUGAAUGAUUACACAACCUUCAGAUGCUUCCAGUUAAUGCUUCACAAAUUAUAUCAAGCAGAUGGCAACCUUCACACGUUUGAGGACCUAAAUACAGAGCUAAUUGCAAGCUAGUGUGACGAAGGUCCUAAAAUUUGGACAUCUCAUAAGAACAUUUCUGUGUUAUGCAUAGUGAGAAAGAAGCAGUGAUUAUCAAUGCUGCCCACACAUUUGAAUCAUGGCGCUUGGUAGUGGACCCUAGCCCAGUUGAAUCUUCAGAUAAGAGUCCAGCCCUGGUCAACACCACGAUGCAGACUCAUGAGAGACCCUGAAGCAGAAGGCAGAGCUAAGCAGUGUCCAGAUUCCUGAUCCACAAAACCUGUGAGAUAAUAGAUAUGGGUUGU